rnacentral:rRNA from 1 species
AGAGUUUGAUCAUGGCUCAGAACGAACGCUGGCGGCAGGCUUAACACAUGCAAGUCGAACGCCCCGGAAGGGGAGUGGCAGACGGGUGAGUAACACGUGGGAACGUGCCCUAAGGUUCGGAAUAUUCCCGGGAAACUGGGAGCAAUACCGAAUGUGUCCGUAAGGAGAAAGAUUUAUCGCCUUAGGAUCGGCCCGCGUCGGAUUAGCUUGUUGGUGGGGUAAUGGCCUACCAAGGCGACGAUCCGUAGCUGGUCUGAGAGGACGACCAGCCACACUGGGACUGAGACACGGCCCAGACUCCUACGGGAGGCAGCAGUGGGGAAUCUUGGACAAUGGGCGCAAGCCUGAUCCAGCCAUGCCGCGUGGAUGAUGAAGGCCUUAGGGUUGUAAAAUCCUUUCGCCGAGGACGAUAAUGACGGUACUCGAGAAGAAGUCC